GACGAACUGUCCUAACGUUGUUCGGAAUCACUGGGCUUAAAGGGCGCGUAGGCGGUCCGACAAGUCAGGGGUGAAAUCCUGCAGCUUAACUGCAGAAGUGCCUUUGAUACUGUCGGUCUGGAGGGAGAUAGGGGUGUGCGGAACUCACAGUGGAGCGGUGAAAUGCGUUGAUAUUGUGAGGAACGCCGGAGGCGAAAGCGGCGCACUGGAUCUCUUCUGACGCUGAGGCGCGAAAGCUAGGGGAGCAAGCGGG
rnacentral:rRNA from 1 species